UGGGUAACCUGCCUCAAAGAGGGGAAUAGCCUCCCGAAAGGGAGAUUAAUACCGCAUAAUAUGUUUAAGUCGCAUGACUUUAACAUCAAAGGAUUUUCUUUUAAGAAAUUCCACUUUGAGAUGGACCCGCGGCGCAUUAGCUAGUUGGUGAGGUAACGGCUCACCAAGGCAACGAUGCGUAGCCGACCUGAGAGGGUGAUCGGCCACAUUGGAACUGAGACACGGUCCAGACUCCGUAGGGACG
rnacentral:rRNA from 1 species